rnacentral:rRNA from 1 species
CCUACGGGAGGCAGCAGUAAGGAAUAUUGGUCAAUGGACGAAAGUCUGAACCAGCCAUGCCGCGUGAAGGAUUAAGGCCCUCUGGGUUGUAAACUUCUUUUAUCUGGGACGAAAAAAGGGUAUUCUUACUCACUUGACGGUACCAGAGGAAUAAGCACCGGCUAACUCCGUGCCAGCAGCCGCGGUAAUACGGAGGGUGCAAGCGUUAUCCGGAUUUACUGGGUUUAAAGGGUGCGUAGGUGGGCUUGUAAGUCAGUGGUGAAAUCUCCGGGCUUAACCCGGAAACUGCCAUUGAUACUAUGGGUCUUGAAUUAUCUGGAGGUAAGCGGAAUAUGUCAUGUAGCGGUGAAAUGCUUAGAUAUGACAUAGAACACCAAUUGCGAAGGCAGCUUACUACGGAUAUAUUGACACUGAGGCACGAAAGCGUGGGGAUCAAACAGGAUUAGAUACCCUGGUAGUCCACGCCCUAAGCGAUGGAUACUCGACAUCAGCGAUACACUGUUGGUGUCUGAGCGAAAGCAUUAAGUAUCCCACCUGGGAAGUACGAUCGCAAGAUUGAAACUCAAAGGAAUUGACGG